rnacentral:rRNA from 1 species
AACAGGAUUAGAUACCCUGGUAGUCCACGCCCUAAACGAUGUCAAUUAGCUGUUGGGCAACUUGAUUGCUUAGUAGCGUAGCUAACGCGUGAAAUUGACCGCCUGGGGAGUACGGUCGCAAGAUUAAAACUCAAAGGAAUUGACGGGGACCCGCACAAGCGGUGGAUGAUGUGGAUUAAUUCGAUGCAACGCGAAGAACCUUACCUGGUCUUGACAUGUACGGAAUCCUCCAGAGAUGGAGGAGUGCCUUCGGGAGCUGUAACACAGGUGCUGCAUGGCUGUCGUCAGCUCGUGUCGUGAGAUGUUGGGUUAAGUCCCGCAACGAGCGCAACCCUUGUCAUUAGUUGCCAUCAUUUAGUUGGGCACUCUAAUGAGACUGCCGGUGACAAGCCGGAGGAAGGUGGGGAUGACGUCAAGUCCUCAUGGCCCUUAUGACCAGGGCUUCACACGUCAUACAAUGGUCGGUACAGAGGGUAGCCAAGCCGCGAGGUGGAGCCAAUCUCACAAAACCGAUCGUAGUCCGGAUUGCACUCUGCAACUCGAGUGCAUGAAGUCGGAAUCGCUAGUAAUCGCAGGUCAGCAUACUGCGGUGAAUACGUUCCCGGGUCUUGUACACACCGCCCGUCACACCAUGGGAGUGGGGGAUACCAGAAGUAGGUAGGGUAACCGCAAGGAGCCCGCUUACCACGGUAUGCUUCAUGACUGGGGUGAAGUCGUAACAAGGUAACC